rnacentral:rRNA from 1 species
GACGAACGCUGGCGGCGUGCCUAAUACAUGCAAGUCGAACGAACUCUGGUAUUGAUUGGUGCUUGCAUCAUGAUUUACAUUUGAGUGAGUGGCGAACUGGUGAGUAACACGUGGGAAACCUGCCCAGAAGCGGGGGAUAACACCUGGAAACAGAUGCUAAUACCGCAUAACAACUUGGACCGCAUGGUCCGAGCUUGAAAGAUGGCUUCGGCUAUCACUUUUGGAUGGUCCCGCGGCGUAUUAGCUAGAUGGUGGGGUAACGGCUCACCAUGGCAAUGAUACGUAGCCGACCUGAGAGGGUAAUCGGCCACAUUGGGACUGAGACACGGCCCAAACUCCUACGGGAGGCAGCAGUAGGGAAUCUUCCACAAUGGACGAAAGUCUGAUGGAGCAACGCCGCGUGAGUGAAGAAGGGUUUCGGCUCGUAAAACUCUGUUGUUAAAGAAGAACAUAUCUGAGAGUAACUGUUCAGGUAUUGACGGUAUUUAACCAGAAAGCCACGGCUAACUACGUGCCAGCAGCCGCGGUAAUACGUAGGUGGCAAGCGUUGUCCGGAUUUAUUGGGCGUAAAGCGAGCGCAGGCGGUUUUUUAAGUCUGAUGUGAAAGCCUUCGGCUCAACCGAAGAAGUGCAUCGGAAACUGGGAAACUUGAGUGCAGAAGAGGACAGUGGAACUCCAUGUGUAGCGGUGAAAUGCGUAGAUAUAUGGAAGAACACCAGUGGCGAAGGCGGCUGUCUGGUCUGUAACUGACGCUGAGGCUCGAAAGUAUGGGUAGCAAACAGGAUUAGAUACCCUGGUAGUCCAUACCGUAAACGAUGAAUGCUAAGUGUUGGAGGGUUUCCGCCCUUCAGUGCUGCAGCUAACGCAUUAAGCAUUCCGCCUGGGGAGUACGGCCGCAAGGCUGAAACUCAAAGGAAUUGACGGGGGCCCGCACAAGCGGUGGAGCAUGUGGUUUAAUUCGAAGCUACGCGAAGAACCUUACCAGGUCUUGACAUACUAUGCAAAUCUAAGAGAUUAGACGUUCCCUUCGGGGACAUGGAUACAGGUGGUGCAUGGUUGUCGUCAGCUCGUGUCGUGAGAUGUUGGGUUAAGUCCCGCAACGAGCGCAACCCUUAUUAUCAGUUGCCAGCAUUAAGUUGGGCACUCUGGUGAGACUACCGGUGACAAACCGGAGGAAGGUGGGGAUGACGUCAAAUCAUCAUGCCCCUUAUGACCUGGGCUACACACGUGCUACAAUGGAUGGUACAACGAGUUGCGAACUCGCGAGAGUAAGCUAAUCUCUUAAAGCCAUUCUCAGUUCGGAUUGUAGGCUGCAACUCGCCUACAUGAAGUCGGAAUCGCUAGUAAUCGCGGAUCAGCAUGCCGCGGUGAAUACGUUCCCGGGCCUUGUACACACCGCCCGUCACACCAUGAGAGUUUGUAACACCCAAAGUCGGUGGGGUAACCUUUUAGGAACCAGCCGCCUAAGGUGGGACAGAUGAUUAGGGUG